CCCUUACAGCUCAACAGGAACAUCUCCAGUAUCAUCUGCAUGGGAAAUGGGAAUGGCACAGAAUUCCGGGUGUUGCCCCACCUUUCCCAUACAUAAUUUUGCUGCAAACAUGAGCAGCCAAUGCCAGUAAAUAUCUCUCACGGUAGCGUGGCAUGGGACCCAACACUGGAAAUGGGAUUCAACCAUCUUCAGCACAAUAUACAUAUUGAAUCCUACAAAGCGUGGAUUAUGCAGUACAGCCCACCUCUAGUCUCAAGUAAAAGGAGAGACAGAUCAACAUUUUUCAGGACUUUACAGGACCCCUAAUUACUGCAAGAGUUCCUGAUACCAGAAGUACCAGGUCAGGGUUCCGGGUGGCAUUCAGCAUGAGUGUAGAGCAAAAUUCAAGCCUGUGCCCCA
rnacentral:lncRNA from 1 species